GCCUCAUUAGCUCAGUGGCAGAGCGCUCACGUUCUAAGUGAGAGGUCACAGGUUCGAACCCUGUAUGAGGCU
rnacentral:tRNA from 1 species